CUUCUCAUGUUUGUACCCUGUG
rnacentral:miRNA from 1 species